rnacentral:rRNA from 1 species
CGGUGCGCCUUAUGCAUGCAAGUCGAGCGAAGCUUUUCAGUAGUUUACUACAGAAAAUGACUGAGCGGCGAACGGGUGAGUAACGCGUGAGCAACCUACCUUAGUUACUGGGAUAGCCCGAGGAAACUCGGAUUAAUACCGGAUAUUCUUAUUUAAUCACAUGAUUUUUUAAGGAAAGGUCAGCCGAACUAAGAUGGGCUCGCGUUCUAUCAGCUAGUUGGUAGGGUAAUGGCCUACCAAGGCUACGACGGAUAGCUGGUCUGAGAGGACGAUCAGCCACACUGGGACUGAGACACGGCCCAGACUCCUACGGGAGGCUGCAGCAGGGAAUAUUGCGCAAUGAGCGAAAGCUUGACGCAGCGACACCGCGUGUGGGAUGACGGAUCUAGGUUUGUAAACCACUUUCAGGAGGGAAGAAAAUGACGGUACCUCCACAAGAAG